GCUCUAACCUGGUAAACGCGCAAGGCGUGUAUACAAAUGUUAGGGCUAUCUAGGAUUUUGAGUAUGUAUCAACAUAA
rnacentral:tRNA from 1 species